CCCCCUACUGUUUCUGAGUCUCACACUAGCCCUGCCUCUGACCUCCCACUCCUACUCAAUGCCCUUUCCUCAAUUUCGUUUGGGAUCCACUGACCCUGUGGAGAUCCACAUGACAGAGAGUGGCAGCAGGAAAGGAACCCUGGAAGUUUCCCGGCCUGGUGAUACAGGAACCGGCCUCAUCCACACCUGCACCGUGACUGUGCUCUACAUGCUGGAAAGGAGUGGGUGAAGCCAUCCCAGCUGGAUGGCCAGCGACCUGCCAGGUGACACUUCAUGAUGCUUCAGCCACAUCUUGGAGAACAUCUAGCAAAGAAGGGACAUCAUCACCGGUGAAACAGCGUUAGACCUGACACUUUAUCAAACCAGUCCGCUUGGUGAUUGUUGGGCGAGAGUGAGGAGGCAUCACCAUGUCCACAUCUGACUCAGCUGUCUGGGUUGGGAGAAGGUCCCCUGCUGCCCAGUGCGGAUGCAUCUGUGAGGGUGAUGGACCCAAGGAGGAUUCUGCAAUGAGCCUGGCAAUCAGGAGGCCCCCUCAGCUUCAGGACACCUAAAAUCCCUGAAGAUUCCAGUACCCACUGUGUUUCCUGUGCCGCCCGCACCCCCAGUGGGAGACACUUUGAAAUCUUUUAGGACCCUGUAUUUGGAUGCUUGCCUCUUCAAGCUAUAAGGACCUUACAGUGAAGAUGGGAAACACAUUUUUACAUUCGGAUUGCCUAAGUGCAGUGGUCCUUCCAGUUCAAGACAUCAUUUGGCAUAGGGAUUUUAAUGUAAGCCUUGUCACUAACGACGUUGCCCUUCUUCAGCUGGCCGACUCUGUGAAUUAUUCUUCGUACAUCCAGCCAGUGUGCCUCCCUGAAAAGAAGUUUGAAGUGAAAGCUGGGACACAGUGUUGGGCGACUGGAUGGGGCCAAACUUUAGAAUUCGCCACAUCACUGCCACGUGUUCUUCAGGAGACUGAGCAAAUCAUUCUUCACCACAAGAAAUGUAAUCAGAAGAUACAGACACGGUUAGGAGUCCAUCGCCAAGUAGUUGGAAGAGGGAUGAUCUGUGGCUAUCACGAAAAGAUUAAAAGUCCCUGCAAGAAACCUGGGCCUGGUGGGUAUCUGGGAAAGGACCUAGGUGCCUAUCUCCCUAGUGCCUUGCUAGCAGUCAGCCUGCUCUGAUGAUGAUCCCCUUCCAUUCCUGUGUUUGUUUCUUCUUUUUCUCCACGGAAAUUCUGGAGGUCCCCUGGUCUGUCAAU